UACGAAGGGGGCUAGCGUUGCUCGGAAUCACUGGGCGUAAAGCGCACGUAGGCGGCUUUUUAAGUCAGAGGUGAAAUUCUGGAGCUCAACUCCAGAACUGCCUUUGAUACUGGAGAGCUUGAGUCCGGGAGAGGUGAGUGGAACUGCGAGUGUAGAGGUGAAAUUCGUAGAUAUUCGCAAGAACACCAGUGGCGAAGGCGGCUCACUGGCCCGGUACUGACGCUGAGGUGCGAAAGCGUGGGGAGCAAACAGG
rnacentral:rRNA from 1 species